CAACUCCUUUCGAGCCUGGCUUAGCUGCUUUUCCAGCUCGGCAAUCUUGGCCAUGGAUUCGUUCUCCGCGUCCCGAAGCCUUUCUGUCAGCUGUGGCACAGCACAUGGUGGCAAAGCUGAGACUCAGAGAGAAGAGACCUAUCCAAAGUCACAUGGGCUUGGAAGUGACAGAGUCAGGAUUUGAACCCGGAUCUGCCUGACCUCAAUGCCCAUGCUGCUAACCGCAGAGCCAUACUCUGCAGUUGGCAACUGGUUGAGUCCCAGAGCGGCGGGAGGAUGUAGGGCUCACCUCCAAGUACAAGUCCAAGCCCAGGUGGGUGAACUCGUAUUGCAGGAAGACACGGAAGUUCAUGUUCUCCACAGAGUGUACCACGAUGUUGAUGAAUUGCAUGCAGGCCACCUGGGGAGUAGGGAACAGGAGCACGUCGGUCUGUGAUCCUCUGGGUGGGGGAGCUCAGUGCCUUCCAUCACCACCCCCCAUUUAUUCCCAAGUCUCUCUCCUUUUCCCCAUUUCUCACUCUGCUAACCCAGCUUUGUCCCUCCCCGUAUUUUCCCCCUACAUGCCGCAUCCCCUCCUUCCAGCUUCCCCUCCCCACCAACCUCUCAAUCCUCAUACUUUGCAGCAGCAGAGCCCAGAUCCCAGAUGCCCAGGGCCCCUGACUGCCCCUCACACUGAGGGUGGUUGGGCCCAGCCUGGUGUCCCGAGCUCACCAUGAAGUCGAUGUUGCUGUCUUCUUUCUGGAAAUAUUCCAUUAGCUUCUCAAAGCGGUGCUGCUCCCCACACACCUGGGUGGGGAGAAUGGCUGUCAUUAGGGCCCCAGCGACACACCUCCUAAGCCUUUUUCCAGCUGCCACCCUUGUGCUUCUACGGGUUCCUCCCGCAUUAAAUCCAAGUCAGGCCGUGUCACUCUUCUGCUCAAAAACCUCUCCUCCCUCUCCAUUUCCCCCAGCCCUCUCUGUUUACUCUACUCCGGCCACACUGGGGUCCUGGUACAUUCCCACCUCAGGGCCUUUGCACCUGCUCUUCCAUCUGCCCGGUUGCUCUUACUCGAGGCUGCCACCACACCAAGUCUCUCACUUCCCUCACAGCUUUGCUCAAACUUCACCAUCUCGAUGAGGCUCCCCUGACCACCCUGCAACCCAUUCCUCCUGUCCCUCCAGCAUCCCUGACUUUUUCCUCAGAGCAUUUAUCAUUUUCUAACACAUUAGGUAAUUUGCUCAUUUAUUAUACUGUUUAUGAUGUCUUCCCCUGCCUUCUUUGUUUCUUUUGUUCAUGGAUGGGCCCCAAGAGCCCACUCUGUGCCUGACACAUAGUAGGCACUCAGGAAAUAUUCAUUAAAGGAAUGAAUGACCAUA